rnacentral:lncRNA from 1 species
CGCAGCAUCUUCCCUGUCCUGGUGCCUGGCCAGGACAAACCAAAACAUGCAUCCCAGGAUGGACAGUGGGAUGCAUUCCUUAGGAUUUCAGCUCUGAGAACUGCAGCUGCUGCUUUGUGUUGCAUCCAUAACCACACAGAGUGGUGUGUUUCCCUUUCAGGCCAGGGCAAACGCACCUUGCUGCUCCUAGGCACAACUUGGAGAAGAAUUAUUGCCUCCACAGGGACAAUUUCUGCCAAGCCAUGGUUUUAUCACCUUUCUCUUACCAGAUCAGGCUGCUGCUUGCUGUUGGUUUCUCUGUGUUUGCUUCAACAAUUAUCUCCCACUCCCCGCCACUCUUCCAGCCGCUAAGAGUUUCAUUGAUAUUUUCAGCAGCUGCAUUUGACGACUGCCAAGUUUUACUCGCUGAUCCUAGCUCUCCAGUUUCCACGUGUUGUGUUCAGCUGCCAUCUCAUCUCUCCCUGCAUCUCUCACCACGGUGAAGGGGAAGCCCUGGACUGCCCACAGGUCCCAGCGAUGCCAGCAGCAAGGUAUCCCCAUAAUCCCCAGCUCUGGGGUCCUGCUGGUGCCACAGUGCUGCCCCUGGACAUCCUCAGGGUUUGUUACUCAGGGUGGAUCCAGUGCCCCAAAAGUGCUGGUGUCUCUGUUUGAUGGCAGUGACAGCUGGAGCGGCAGAGAUAGUGACAGAGCUCCCCUCUGCUGUCCUGGAGGAGAGGCAGAGCAAUGGAACAGGGACAGCAGGACAGUACCAGGUGACCACCAGCCCUGAGCAGCAUCUCCCCCACCUGGCACCAAAUGCACCCCCUGGUCUGGCACACACAUCUAGGUCCAGUGAUGCUGCUGCCUUCCUACCCACCACAGUUCAACCUGCCUAAUGGAAGCCGUUUAUAUGCAAAAUCCCCAGGAAAAAAAAAACGCAGCCUGUUUAUGGGAACGGAACCGCCCCAGCGUGAAUUAUUCAUGGACCUUGCAAGCUCAUUCUCAAAAUAUCAAUUUCUCCCAGUCAUGCCAAGCAGCACUUAAGCCUGAAAGCCCUGUUAAAAUGAAAGGCCCAGGGAGCCAGGCAGGGCAUGGGGCUGUGUGCCGCCUCCAGGGGCACCAAGAUCAGGGGCACAUGACCACCACUCCUGGUGCCCAGUCCAGCUCAGGCAGCCGGCACUCACUGGAGGCAUCUCUCAUGGCAUAGCCCUAUGGCCCUGACAUUGCCCCAGUGAGGGCAGUAGGGAACCUG